rnacentral:rRNA from 1 species
GGAAUAUUGGACAAUGGGCGAAAGCCUGAUCCAGCAAUGCCGCGUGAGUGAUGAAGGCCUUAGGGUUGUAAAGCUCUUUUACUAGGGAUGAUAAUGACAGUACCUAGAGAAUAAGCUCCGGUUAACUCCGUGCCAGCAGCCGCGGUAAUACGGAGGGAGCUAGCGUUGUUCGGAAUUACGGGGCGUAAAGCGCGCGUAGGCGGCUUUUUAAGUCAGGGGUGAAAUCCCGGAGCUCAACUCCGGAACUGCCCUUGAAACUGGGAAGCUAGAAUAUUGGAGAGGUAAGUGGAAUUCCGAGUGUAGAGGUGAAAUUCGUAGAUAUUCGGAAGAACACCAGUGGCGAAGGCGACUCACUGGACAAUUAUUGACGCUGAGGUGCGAAAGCGUGGGGAGCAAAC